rnacentral:rRNA from 1 species
UACGUAGGGUGCGAGCGUUAAUCGGAAUUACUGGGCGUAAAGCGUGCGCAGGCGGUUAUAUAAGACAGAGGUGAAAUCCCCGGGCUCAACCUGGGAACUGCCUUUGUGACUGUAUAGCUUGAGUGCGGCAGAGGGGGAUGGAAUUCCGCGUGUAGCAGUGAAAUGCGUAGAUAUGCGGAGGAACACCGAUGGCGAAGGCAGCUCGCUGGGACGGUACUGACGCUAAGGCGCGAAAGCGUGGGGAGCGAACAGG